GUGGAUAUAGCUCAGUGGUAGAGUGUAUGCUUAGCAUGCAUGAGGUCUUGGGUUCAAUCCCCAGUAUCUCCA
rnacentral:tRNA from 1 species